UACGGGGGAGCAAGCGUUGUUCGGAUUUACUGGGCGUAAAGGGCGCGUAGGCGGCCACCGCAAGUCGACUGUGAAAUCUCCGGGCUUAACCCGGAAAGGUCAGCCGAUACUGCGGGGCUAGAGUGCAGAAGGGGCAACUGGAAUUCUCGGUGUAGCGGUGAAAUGCGUAGAUAUCGAGAGGAACACCUGCGGCGAAGGCGGUGCUGGGCUGACACUGACGCUGAUGCGCGAAAGCUAGGGAGCGAACGGG
rnacentral:rRNA from 1 species